GCUAGUCAGACACGGGGAUGCUCGCAAUGCCUCUAUCAAAGACGCGUCGUACUGUGUUGUUAUGUGUUGUAAUAGUUAUUUCAUUGAAAAAUUAAUUUCAUCGUUGAAAAAUCCAUAUUUUCGUCUCUAAAGGAACAAAAAAGAAA